UCCGACAACAUUGACAAUUUUUCGUCGGGUCUCAACAAUGGGGGGGGGGGGGGCACUGCUAGAGUCUUUCACGAGGGCAGACAGACAGCAUCCCAAAAAUGGCGGGUUUUGGCCUUCAUGAGAAAGGCUAAUUAAAGCACCCAAAAUGCAAGAUCCACUUCGGAUACCCUGGAUUCCAGAGCCUUCAGUAAAUAGUAAAUUGAAACGUCGUGAAGGCUCUGGUUCAACGGGAGGAUUCUUUGAUUAAACCGCGCCAAUCACAAAACAGAAUUAGUGGUUUUAGUACAGAAUCUGUACAUUAAUUAGUGCUGGUCAUCGGACAUUGUCCGGCCAAAUUUUACCUUUUCUGCGAUCAAAGUUUUCUCUAUGAUCGUCAAAUGUCUAAUCUCAAAAAAUUGAUUUUGAACACAAUUUCAUUAAUGAAACCAAAGCAAUAUGAACGACACUCUUCCCUUAUUUUUUUGCUGCAUUAAGCCGUAAGAUUCGAUUACAAAUAUAAAUAAAAACUAAAAAAUAAUAAAUAAAUAAAAAAUCGUCUUAUUAUAACAUGCUAGAAAUUAAAGGUAUAUGUAUGACCUGAUAUACUAAAAAUGCAGUAUAGGACUUGUAGAUUUAUACUCGGUUUUAGAUGCAGUGCAGCGCAGAUCAACAUGACCAACCAAAAUACAUCAUGCAUGCUAAUAUGAAAAAGACCAUGAAAAAAAUUGUCCAAGAAAAACUGAUAAAUGUGCGACCACUUUGUCUUGAUCGGACAUCUGUCCUUCCGAGCAAAAUAAUUAUUUGCAGGCCUGACUUCAGCCUGAAGUCAAAAUUCACUGGUUCUUUUAUGCGGGGCUUCGCUGUAUUCUGUUAUUCAAAAUGAUGUUGCUUCUUCGACAGUUCUAUUCGAGCGCCACAGAUAUAGAGGGAAACCCAUUGCUGUGAAUGUUGCCACCAAGAAACCAAAGUUGACC
rnacentral:lncRNA from 1 species